rnacentral:lncRNA from 1 species
UCCCCACCAUCUUGUUGUGGUCCCCACCUCCCACCAUCUUGUUGUGGUCCCCACCUCCCACCACCUUGUUGUGGCCGUGCACAGAGAACAGUGUUAUGCAUCCACAGGGUUCUACCGUGCACAGAGAACAGUGUUAUGCAUCCACAGGGUUCUACCAUGCACAGAGAACAGUGUUAUACAUCCACAGGGUUCUACCGUGCACAGAGAACAAUGUUAUGCAUCCACAGGGUUCUACCGUGCACAGAGAACAAUGUUAUGCAUCCACAGGGUUCUACCGUGCACAGAGAACAAUGUUAUGCAUCCACAGGGUUCUACCGUGCACAGAGAACAGUGUUAUGCAUCCACAGGGUUCUACCGUGCACAGAGAACAGUGUUAUGCAUCCACAGGGUUCUACCGUGCACAGAGAACAAUAUUAUGCAUCCACAGGGUUCUACCGUGCACAGAGAACUGUGUUAUGCAUCCACAGGGUUCUACCGUGGACAGAGAACAGUGUUAUGCAUCCACAGGGUUCUACCAUGCACAGAGAACAGUGUUAUGCAUCCACAGGGUUCUACCGUGCACAGAGAACAGUGUUAUGCAUCCACAGGGUUCUACCAUGCACAGAGAACAGUGUUAUACAUCCACAGGGUUCUACCGUGCACAGAGAACAAUGUUAUGCAUCCACAGGGUUCUACCGUGCACAGAGAACAAUGUUAUGCAUCCACAGGGUUCUACCGUGCACAGAGAACAAUGUUAUGCAUCCACAGGGUUCUACCGUGCGCAGAGAACAGUGUUAUGCAUCCACAGGGUUCUACCGUGCACAGAGAACAGUGUUAUGCAUCCACAGGGUUCUACCGUGCACAGAGAACAAUAUUAUGCAUCCACAGGGUUCUACCGUGCACAGAGAACAAUGUUAUGCAUCCACAGGGUUCUACCGUACACAAUCUGCUCUUUUAAUUAUGUGCUACAUGUAUUUUUGAACAGUAGUAAUAAAAUAAUUUAAAAGAGAAAGAAAUUUCAUGUUCUCCAGCCUCCACCAACAAAAUAUGAAUUCGACUAUAUGUCAAUAAGCAUUUAUUUUAGAAUGAACAGAA